GAUGAACGCUGGCGGCGUGCUUAACACAUGCAAGUCGAACGAUGAAGCCCAGCUUGCUGGGUUGAUUAGUUGCGAACGGGUGAGUAACUCGUGAGUAACCUGCCUUUAACUCUGGCAUAAGCCUCGUCAACUGGGUCUAGUACCGACUAGUAGCGCCUACCGCCUGGAUGGUGUUGGAAAGAUUUAUCGUUUUUCGAUGGCUUCUCGGCUUAUCCGCUACUUGGUGAGGUAAUGGUUGACGAAGGCGAAGCCGGGUAGCCGGCAUGUGAGGGUCAACGGCCACAAUGGGACUAAGAAAGGGCCCAGAAUCGUACGGGAGGCAGCAGUGGGGAAAAUUGCACAAUGGGCGAGAGCCAGAUGCAGCGACGCCGCGUGAGGGAUGACGGCCUUCGGGUUGUAAACCACUUUCAGUAGGGAAAAGGCGAAAGUGACGGUACCUGCAGAAGAAGCAACGGCUAACUACGUG
rnacentral:rRNA from 1 species